rnacentral:rRNA from 1 species
AGUGAACGCUGGCGGUAGGCCUAACACAUGCAAGUCGAACGGCAGCACAGUAAGAGCUUGCUCUUACGGGUGGCGAGUGGCGGACGAGUGAGGAAUACAUCGGAAUCUACUUUUUCGUGGGGGAUAACGUAGGGAAACUUACGCUAAUACCGCAUACGACCUACGGGUGAAAGCAGGGGAUCUUCGGACCUUGCGCGAUUGAAUGAGCCGAUGUCGGAUUAGCUAGUUGGCGGGGUAAAGGCCCACCAAGGCGACGAUCCGUAGCUAGACUGAGAGGAUGAUCAGCCACACUGGAACUGAGACACGGUCCAGACUCCUACGGGAGGCAGCAGUGGGGAAUAUUGGACAAUGGGCGCAAGCCUGAUCCAGCCAUACCGCGUGGGUGAAGAAGGCCUUCGGGUUGUAAAGCCCUUUUGUUGGGAAAGAAAAGCAGCAGGUUAAUACCCCGCUGUUCUGACGGUACCCAAAGAAUAAGCACCGGCUAACUGCGU